ensembl:lncRNA
GCCGGGAAUUGAUGCCAUUCUUGUGUUAUUAAAUCGUUUUGGAUCGUUUCCGUCUCUCGGUGUACGCGUAUUGCUCGCUUCCCCCCGUAGUUUAAUCACUUUUACGCACGACGGGUGCCCCGAAACACCUCCAUGAAUGAAUGGGGACGGUGCUGCGGGUUGGAUACGCGCUCUCCUGGAUUAACGGUCUUCUCCUGCUCCUCUUGAUCAUAUUUCAGGAAGUCAUCGGGACCGUGCACAUCAGCUGUUGAGUCGUGCCUCUGUUAUGGUUGUGUUGCAGUGAAACAUUUCGUCCAGACCUGUUCACGUUUCGCUCGGAACCAUGAACUGGCACGGUCGCUGGAGCCUCAAGUUUGCGUUUCUGACAGCGAUGCACGCCUUGUUGUCAUCGGCGUCCUCGCUGCUGCACGCCGUGGAUGAUGUGCGCUCGGAACCCUUGCAAGGAAAUUCAAUCGGCGCUACCCACGACGACCGAGCGUCAGCCGGGCAGAAGCGCCACGGGACCACGGUGCCCCGUCUGCUGAUUGGACGGGACUGGGGACCAAUCGGCUCGCUUCAUUUCCAGGGCCACCCGGCUGCACUGAGGCUCCUGAUUGAAGUGGAAGGUGAACAGCUGCUUCUGACUCUCCAGAAAAAUGAGGGCCUGUUCGCCGGCCACUACACCGAGACGCACUACCUGG